UGCUAGCCGCCGCGGUAAUACGGAGGGGGUUAGCGUUGUUCGGAAUUACUGGGCGUAAAGCGCACGUAGGCGGAUUGGAAAGUUGGGGGUGAAAUCCCGGGGCUCAACCCCGGAACUGCCUCCAAAACUAUCAGUCUAGAGUUCGAGAGAGGUGAGUGGGACUCCGAGUGUAGAGGUGAAAUUCGUAGAUAUUCGGAAGAACGCCAGUGGCGAAGGCGGCUCACUGGCUCGAUACUGACGCUGAGGUGCGAAAGUGUGGGGAGCAAACAGGGUUAGAUG
rnacentral:rRNA from 1 species